rnacentral:tRNA from 1 species
GUCAGCGACGGCCCGGCCAGACGGGCGCCUUGCAGGCAUCCCAGGUGGUUCGGUUGUUCGAGCCGAUCCGCCCGUG